AGUGAACGCUGGCGGUAGGCCUAACACAUGCAAGUCGAACGGCAGCACAGUAAGAGCUUGCUCUUACGGGUGGCGAGUGGCGGACGGGUGAGGAAUACAUCGGAAUCUACUUUUUCGCGGGGGAUAACGUAGGGAAACUUACGCUAAUACCGCAUACGACCUACGGGUGAAAGCAGGGGAUCUUCGGACCUUGCGCGAUUGAAUGAGCCGAUGUCGGAUUAGCUAGUUGGCGGGGUAAAGGCCAACCAAGGCGACGAUCCGUAGCUGGUCUGAGAGGAUGAUCAGCCACACUGGAACUGAGACACGGUCCAGACUCCUACGGGAGGCAGCAGUGGGGAAUAUUGGACAAUGGGCGCAAGCCUGAUCCAGCCAUACCGCGUGGGUGAAGAAGGCCUUCGGGUUGUAAAGCCCUUUUGUUGGGAAAGAAAAGCAGCAGGUUAAUACCCCGCUGUUCUGACGGUACCCAAAGAAUAAGCACCGGCUAACUUCGUG
rnacentral:rRNA from 1 species